GACUCUAGAUAACCUCGGGCAGAUCGCACGUCCCCGUGACGGCGACGACACAUUCGGAUGUCUGCCCUAUCACAUGGUGACCACGGGUAACGGGGAAUCAGGGUUCGAUUCCGGAGAGGGAGCCUGAGAAACGGCUACCACAUCUGACG